ensembl:lncRNA
AUGGGGUCCUAUGGGGCUCUAUGGGGUCUUAUGGGGUCCUUAUGGGGUCCUAUGGGGGCUUAAAGGGGUUCUAUGGGGUCCUACGGGGUCCUUAUGGGGUCCUAUGGGGUUCUAUGGGGUCCUUAUGGGGUCUGAGUGGGUUUAUGGGGUCCUAUGGGGUCCCUAUGGGGUUCUAUGGGGGCUUAAAGGAGUCUUAUGGGGUUCUAUGGGGUCCCUAUGGGGUCCUUGAAGGUUUAUAGGGUCCUUAUGGGGACUUUAUGGGGUUAAUUGGGGUUUAUGGAGUCCUUAUGGGGUCCUUAUGGGGUCAGUUGGGGUUUAUGGAGUCCUUAUGGGGUCAUUAUGGGGUUAAAUGGGGUUUAUGGGGUCCCUAUGGGGUCCUUAUGGGGUUAAUUGGGGUUUAUGGUGUCUCUAUGGGGUCCUUAUGGGGUCCUUAUGGGAUCUGGGGGCAUUUAUAGGGUCUCUAUGGGGUCUUUAUGGGGUCCUUCUGGGGUUAAUUAGGGUUUAUAGGGUCCUUAUGGGGACUUUAUGGGGUUAAUUGGGGUCCUUAUGGGGUCCUUAUGGGGUCCUUAUGGGGUCAAUUGGGGUUUAUAGGGCCCUUAUGGGGUCCUUAUGGUGUCUUUACGGGGUUAAAGGGGGUUUAUAGGGUCUCUAUGGGGUCCUUAUGGGGUCAAUUGGGGUUUAUGGAGUCCUUAUGGGGUCUUUAUGGGGUUAAAUGGGGUUUAUGGGGUCCUUAUGGGGUCAUUAUGGGGUCCUUAUGGGGUCAAUUGGGGUUUAUGGGGCCCUUAUGGGGUCAUUAUGGGACCCUUAUGGGGUUAAAGGGGGUUUAUAGGGUCUCUAUGGGGUCCCUUUGGAAUCCUUAUGGGGUUAAAGGGGGUUUAUAGGGUUUCUAUGGGGUCCUUUUGGGGUCCUUAUGGGGUUAAUCGGGGUUUAUGGGGUCCCUAUGGGGUCCUUAUGGGGUCUUUAUGGGGUUAAUUGGGGUCCUUAUGGGGUCCUUAUGGGGUCCUUAUGGGGCUAAUUGGGGUUUAUGGGGUCCUUAUGGGGUCUUUAUGGGGUUAAUUGGGGUUUAUGGGGUCCUUAUGGGGUCAUUAUGGGGUCCUUAUGGGGUUAAAGGGGGUUUAUAGGGUUUCUAUGGGGUCCUUAUGGGGUUAAUUGGGGUUUAUGGGGUCCUUAUAGGAUCCUUAUGGGGUUAAAGGGGGUUUAUGGGGUCCCUAUGGGGUCCUUAUGGGGUCUUUAUGGGGUCAAUUGGUGUUUAUGGGGUCCUUAUGGGGUCCUUAUGGGGCUAAUUGGGGUUUACGGGGACUUUAUGGGGUCCUUAUGGGGUCAAUUGGCUUUUAUAGGGUCCCUAUGGGGUCCUUAUGGCUGCAAUACCCCUCCCGUCCACAAGGCGGCGCUACUGAGCGCAGACUCACCUUUGCGCAUGCGCAUCAGCCACCAUCCGGGUCCUUUCCUCUGCGUGCUGCGCAUGCGCGUCUGCUGUAGAGAGCGCAUGCGCUGUAGCUGCCAUUUGCAGCGCAUGCGCAGUACGC